rnacentral:rRNA from 1 species
CACUUCUAAGGAAGGCAGCAGGCGCGCAAAUUACCCAAUCCUGACUCAGGGAGGUAGUGACAAGAAAUAACAAUAAACCGGCUUAUGCCGGUUUAAUUGGAAUGAGUACAAUUUAAACAUCUUAACGAGGAACAAUUGGAGGGCAAGUCUGGUGCCAGCAGCCGCGGUAAUUCCAGCUCCAAUAGCGUAUACUAAAGUUGUUGCAGUUAAAAAGCUCGUAGUUGGAUUUCUGUGGGGACGGAGCGGCCGGCCGCAACACGCGGUUCGAGCUAGCGCUUUCCCUACAUCCUGCCGCGAACCGUGCUACCAUUAGUUUGGUGGCGCCGGGGAUCGGCUCGAUUACUUUGAGAAAAAUAGAGUGUUCAAAGCAGGCCACACGCCUUGAAUAAGUUAGCAUGGAAUAAUAACUAAGGACUUCGGUUCUAUUUUGUUGGUGUUCGGGACUGAAGUAAUGAUUGAUAGGGACAGUUGGGGCGGUCUGUAUUCCAAAGCGAGAGGUGAAAUUCUUAGACCUUCGGAAGACAAACAGCUGCGAAAGCGUUCCGCAAGGAUGUUCCCUUUGAUCAAGAACGAAAGUUGGGGGAUCGAAGACGAUCAGAUACCGUCGUAGUCUCAACUAUAAACUAUACCAGCUAGGGAUCGGCCAACGUUAUUCUAUACCGACUUGGUCGGCACCUUAUGAGAAAUCAAAGCAUCUGGGUUCCGGGGGGAGUAUGGUCGCAAGGCUGAAACUUAAAGGAAUUGACGGAAGGGCACCACCAGCCGUGGAGCCUGUGGCUUAAUUUGACUCAACACGGGAAAACUUACCGGGUCCAGACAUAGUUAGGAUUGACAGAUUAAGAGCUCUUUCUUGAUUCUAUGGGUGGUGGUGCAUGGCCGUUCUUAGUUGGUGGAGUGAUUUGUCUGGUUAAUUCCGUUAACGAACGAGACCGUAACCUGCUAAAUAGCGCGCGUGAGCUUUGCUCGCGGCGAGCUUCUUAGAGGGACUAUGAUGCGCGAUAGCACAUGGAAGUUUGGGGCAAUAACAGGUCUGUGAUGCCCUUAGAUGUUCUGGGCCGCACACGGGCUACACUGGCGCCUGCAACGAGCAUAUCAGCUGGCCCGAGAGGGUCUUGGCUAAUCUUUUGAACCGGCGCCGUGCUUGGGAUUGACCUUUGCAAUUGUUGGUCAUGCAACGAGGAAUGCCUUGUAAACGCGAGUCAUCAGCUCGCAUUGAAUACGUCCCUGCCCUUUGUACACACCGCCCGUCGCUCCUACCGAUGAAUGUUCCGAUGAAAUUUUCGGAGAGCACCUGUGAACUUGGCUCUGCCUCGCGAACGGGAGGCUCAAAGUCACUUAAAUCUGAACAUUUCGAGG